rnacentral:tRNA from 1 species
AAUUGCUUGACCGAAUGCUAAGGUUUCUACCUUGAAAGUAGAUAAAAGAAGUUAAAUUCUUCUAGUAAUUU